rnacentral:rRNA from 1 species
UACGUAGGUGGCAAGCGUUGUCCGGAAUUAUUGGGCGUAAAGGGCGUGUAGGCGGCAAACCAAGUCUGAUGUGAAAUCUUAUGGCUCAACCAUAAACGUGCAUUGGAAACUGGUUAGCUAGAGUGUCGGAGAGGAAAGCGGAAUUCCAUGUGUAGCGGUGAAAUGCGUAGAGAUAUGGAGGAACACCAGUGGCGAAGGCGGCUUUCUGGACGAUAACUGACGCUGAGGCGCGAAAGCGUGGGGAGCAAACAGG